rnacentral:rRNA from 1 species
AUACGUUGGGUGCGAGCGUUGUCCGGAAUUACUGGGCGUAAAGAGCUCGUAGGUGGUUUGUCGCGUCGUCUGUGAAAUUCCGGGGCUUAACUCCGGGCGUGCAGGCGAUACGGGCAUAACUUGAGUACUGUAGGGGAGACUGGAAUUCCCGGUGUAGCGGUGAAAUGCGCAGAUAUCAGGAGGAACACCGGUGGCGAAGGCGGUCUCUGGGCAGUAACUGACGCUGAGGAGCGAAAGCAUGGGUAGCGAACAGGAUUAGAUACCCUGGUAGUCCAUGCCGUAAACGGUGGGCGCUAGGUGUAGGGGUCUUCCACGACUUCUGUGCCGUAGCUAACGCAUUAAGCGCCCCGCCUGGGGAGUACGGCCGCAAGGCUAAAACUCAAAGGAAUUGACGGG